rnacentral:misc_RNA from 1 species
AACGCACCUUGCGCUCUUUGGUAUUCCGAAGAGCAUGCCUGUUUGAGUGUCAUGAAAAUAUCAACCUUGACUUGGGCUUUGUGCACAAGUCCUAGGCUUGGAUGUGGGUGCUUGCCGCUUUAACGCGCGGCUCACCUUAAAUGUAUUAGCUGGAUCAGUCUUUGAGACUUGGUUUGACUUGGCGUAAUAAGUAUUUCGCUAAGGACAUUCUUCGGGAUGGCCUCGUUUCUGGGACACCUGUCCGCUUUCCAAUACAAGUUCCAGAAAUGGACAUGACUUUUUUUUAAUCAUCUGGCCUCAAAUCAGGUAGGACUACCCGCUGAACUUAA